UGCACGGUGGCGUAGUUGGUAGCGCUGUUGCCUUCUUUCCCCUGGACCUUCUUACCUUGCAGCAAGAAGGUCCUGGGUUCGAUUCCUGGCCUGGGGUCUUUCUGCAU